UGUGGCAGUAAGUUGAUACUUUGAUACACUUUUGAUAUAAAGUUGAUGCACUUUGGUCCAUUCGAUGCGUGAUAUUCUUAUUCCUUCAUUGCCUCUUCAGAGGUGUGAGCUAAUUAUUCAUGUUUUGACUUCUCAAACUACAAUAAUCUAGGAUGUUUCAUACGGUUGUCUAUGCUAUGAUAUGGUCAGUUGGUAACAAGGAUAGCAGACUUGGGAAAGUUUUCAUAUGAUUCACCACGAAAGUCACACAUUUGCUCUGUAAAAGAAAGGUUGAAAGAGUUGAUAUGCUGAGGAGUGUUAGAAUGGAGAUUAUGAUAAGAACAUCACAAAGAUGUAUUGCACAACAUUCACAGCUUCAUAAAGGGACCAGGAACUUUAGACACAAAGUGACAUAUACACGCUUUGCAACUUCGAAGGAGUAGACAAGAAUUUCAGCAGCAGAAAAAAGGCGGAAUAUCCUGUCAAGCUUCAAUUCGGAUUGAAAGAUGAAAUCAACUAAGCGUUCACAAAUGUGGUCAAUUUGACACGAACCGCUGUGUCGACAAGAUAAAUCCACGCAGCAAAGACACUGGACAGCGACACAACUGGUUACGAAGUUACAAAGAGUGGCAGCCAAGAAACGUGAUUAUCUUCUGAACAAAUGGUCGCCGACGACAGCUGAAAUUGUGUUAUUAGGAUAAAAGGACUUUUAUUUGAAAACAAAAAAUGAGUUACAUUAUAUUGGAUAUUUUGAAUAUCAGUCAAUUUUUAAGAGCCAAUUACAAGACUGGCGAUAUCUGCAGAACGUAUAAUAUUUAAAGUUUGACAUUUUGAGAUUCGGAACUUCUGUGUACUUCUUUAUAAAUAACAUUCACUUUGAAAAUUGAAAUAUAAAAGCGUUUUCGUUAA